GUAACCGCAUCUGAUCUGGGCGCUCCGGGAAGGGCGAGACUGGAGCAGAGCCGCUGGGCGCCGGAGCCGAGGCGAGCGCCGCGCGCACCACUGAGACGCAGUCUCACUGUGUUGCCCAGAAUGGUUUCAAACUCCUCAAAGAUUGGGCUCAAAGUUCGGGCUCAAGUGAUCCUCCCGCCUUGGCCUCCCGAAGUUCUUGGAUUACAAGCUUGAGCCACUGCCUGGCCUCAAUUUCACUCUUAAAAAAAUAUUUCAAAUAUACAAAUAAUCUAAAAAGUGGGGACUAAUGUUCUAGAUACUGAUAUUCCUACCACACCCAUCAGAAAAGAAAUGCGAACACUGUUCUAGAUGUUUUCAGAUUUAUCUUUACUUCUCCAUUAUUGCAGUUAUUUUUACUAUUUUUAUUUGUGCCAUUCAACAUACACCCUCUUACAACUACUUGCUAG
rnacentral:sRNA from 1 species